UGGGGAGUAUUGCACAAUGGGCGAAAGCCUGAUGCAGCGACGCCGCGUGCGGGAUGAAGGCCUUCGGGUUGUAAACCGCUUUUGAUUGGGAGCAAGCGAGAGUGAGUGUACCUUUCGAAUAAGCACCGGCUAACUACGUGCCAGCAGCCGCGGUAAUACGUAGGGUGCAAGCGUUAUCCGGAAUUAUUGGGCGUAAAGAGCUCGUAGGCGGUUUGUCGCGUCUGGUGUGAAAGUCCAUCGCUUAACGGUGGAUCUGCGCCGGGUACGGGCAGGCUAGAGUGCGACAGGGGAGACUGGAAUUCCCGGUGUAACGGUGGAAUGUGUAGAUAUCGGGAAGAACACCAAUGGCGAAGGCAGGUCUCUGGGUCGUCACUGACGCUGAGGAGCGAAAGCGUGGGGAGCGAACAGGAUUAGAUACCCUGGUAGUCCACGCCGUAAACGGUGGAUGCUGGAUGUGGGGCCCC
rnacentral:rRNA from 1 species